CGGUACCUGAAGAAAAAGCAUCGGCUAACUCCGUGCCAGCAGCCGCGGUAAUACGGAGGAUGCAAGCGUUAUCCGGAAUCAUUGGGCGUAAAGGGUCCGCAGGUGGCGAAUAGAGUCUGCUGUUAAAGACCGGGGCUUAACUCCGGAAAGGCAGUGGAAACUGAUUAGCUAGAGUACGGUAGGGGUAGAGGGAAUUCCCAGUGUAGUGGUGAAAUGCGUAGAUAUUGGGAAGAACACCGGUGGCGAAAGCGCUCUACUAGGCCGAAACUGACACUGAGGGACGAAAGCUAGGGUAGCGAAAGGGAUUAGAUACCCCUGUAGUCUUAGCGGUAAACGAUGGAUACUAGGUGUAGCUUGUAUCGACCCGAGCUGUGCCGAAGCUAACGCGAUAAGUAUCCCGCCUGGGGAGUACGCACGCAAGUGUGAAACUCAAAGGAAUUGACGGGGGCCCGCACAAGCGGUGGAGUAUGUGGUUUAAUUCGAUGCAACGCGAAGAACCUUACCAGGGCUUGACAUGUCGCGAAUCUAGCGGAAACGUUAGAGUGCCUUAGGGAAUGCGAACACAGGUGGUGCAUGGCUGUCGUCAGCUCGUGUCGUGAGAUGUUGGGUUAAGUCCCGCAACGAGCGCAACCCUCGUCCUUAGUUGCCAAUAUUAAGUUAGGCACUCUAGGGAGACUGCCGGGGACAACUCGGAGGAAGGUGGGGAUGACGUCAAGUCAGCAUGCCCCUUACGUCCUGGGCUACACACGUACUACAAUGGUUGGGACAAAGGGCAGCAAGCUCGCGAGAGUAAGCGAAUCUCAUCAAACCCAGCCACAGUUCAGAUUGCAGGCUGCAACUCGCCUGCAUGAAGUAGGAAUCGCUAGUAAUCGCAGGUCAGCAUACUGCGGUGAAUUCGUUCCCGGGCCUUGUACACACCGCCCGUCACACCAUGGAAGCUGGCUACGCCCGAAGUCGUUACCCUAACCCGGUUUUGGGAGGGGGAUGCCGAAGGUAGAGCUAGUGACUGGGGUGAAGUCGUAACAAGGUAGCCGUACCGGAAGGUGUGGCUGGAUCACCUCCUUU
rnacentral:rRNA from 1 species